AUGACAGUGACAAUAAUUUUAAGGAGAAAAAUUUUGAUUGGAAGUGAUUUUUUUACAUUUGAGAAUAGUUCAAAUAUCUAGAAGAAUUCAGGAUUAUAUUUUGCCAACGACUAUAUUGCGGAUGAUUAUAGAGACAGAAAAUUUCUAAGCAACCAACUUAAAUUAGCACGGAUUCAAGAUCCCCGAGCAAGGUUCAAAAAAAUCAUAUAUACUUUAACCAUAACUCGUAUUCCAUCGACUCACUUAGAGCGAACCCAUUGAAGGAAGCAACUUCACUAAAUCCUCCUGCUGAAAUAUCGGCUCUUACCCCUAAGGACAAUAAAUUAGAGAAGAGAUCGUCUGGGAGGUCGAAGAAAUAAAAAAUAUUCGUGUUUGUUAUUAUUUGAAUUUAUUGAUUGUACUGUACUUAUUGUUGCUAUAAUUAUAAUUGAUUGCAAGGUUUC